UCUUUAGAAGCAUUAUAGAUGUAAUUGGUUUCGGCCCAAAGGAUGCCCACAGCCUAAAGAU
rnacentral:tRNA from 1 species